CGAUCAGUAGGGGUUCUGAGAGGAAGGUCCCCCACAUUGGAACUGAGACACGGUCCAAACUCCUACGGGAGGCAGCAGUGAGGAAUAUUGGUCAAUGGACGAGAGUCUGAACCAGCCAAGUAGCGUGCAGGAAGACGGCCCUAUGGGUUGUAAACUGCUUUUAUAAGGGAAUAAAGUGAGGGUCGUGACUCUUUUUGCAUGUACCUUAUGAAUAAGGACCGGCUAAUUCCGUGCCAGCAGCCGCGGUAAUACGGAAGGUCCGGGCGUUAUCCGGAUUUAUUGGGUUUAAAGGGAGCGUAGGCCGGAGAUUAAGCGUGUUGUGAAAUGUAGACGCUCAACGUCUGCACUGCAGCGCGAACUGGUUUCCUUGAGUACGCACAAAGUGGGCGGAAUUCGUGGUGUAGCGGUGAAAUGCUUAGAUAUCACGAAGAACUCCGAUUGCGAAGGCAGCUCACUGGAGCGCAACUGACGCUGAAGCUCGAAAGUGCGGGUAUCGAACAGGAUUAGAUACCCUGGUAGCCCGCACGGUAAACGAUGGAUGCCCGCUGUUGGUCUGAAUAGGUCAGCGGCCAAGCGAAAGCAUUAAGCAUCCCACCUGGGGAGUACGCCGGCAACGGUGAAACUCAAAGGAAUUGACGGGGGCCCGCACAAGCGGAGGAACAUGUGGUUUAAUUCGAUGAUACGCGAGGAACCUUACCCGGGCUUGAAUUGCAGAGGAAGGAUUUGGAGACAAUGACGCCCUUCGGGGCCUCUGUGAAGGUGCUGCAUGGUUGUCGUCAGCUCGUGCCGUGAGGUGUCGGCUUAAGUGCCAUAACGAGCGCAACCCCUCUCCUUAGUUGCCAUCAGGUUAAGCUGGGCACUCUGGGGACACUGCCACCGUAAGGUGUGAGGAAGGUGGGGAUGACGUCAAAUCAGCACGGCCCUUACGUCCGGGGCUACACACGUGUUACAAUGGCAGGUACAGAGAGACGGUUGUACGUAAGUACGAUCAAAUCCUUAAAGCCUGUCUCAGUUCGGACUGGGGUCUGCAACCCGACCCCACGAAGCUGGAUUCGCUAGUAAUCGCGCAUCAGCCAUGGCGCGGUGAAUACGUUCCCGGGCCUUGUACACACCGCCCGUCAAGCCAUGAAAGCCGGGGGCGCCUAAAGUCCGUGACCGUAAGGAGCGGCCUAGGGCGAAACUGGUAAUUGGGGCUAAGUCGUAACAAGGUA
rnacentral:rRNA from 1 species